UGCAAGUCGAGCGGCAGCGGGAGGUGCUUGCACCUCGCCGGCGAGCGGCGGACGGGUGAGUAAUGCAUAGGAAUCUGCCCGGUAGUGGGGGAUAACCUGGGGAAACCCAGGCUAAUACCGCAUACGUCCUACGGGAGAAAGCAGGGGAUCUUCGGACCUUGCGCUAUCGGAUGAGCCUAUGCCGGAUUAGCUGGUUGGUAGGGUAAUGGCCUACCAAGGCAACGAUCCGUAGCUGGUCUGAGAGGAUGAUCAGCCACACUGGGACUGAGACACGGCCCAGACUCCUACGGGAGGCAGCAGUGGGGAAUAUUGGACAAUGGGCGAAAGCCUGAUCCAGCCAUGCCGCGUGUGUGAAGAAGGCUUUCGGGUUGUAAAGCACUUUCAGUGGGGAAGAAAGCCUGUCGGUUAAUACCCGGCAGGAACGACAUCACCCACAGAAGAAGCACCGGCUAACUCCGUGCCAGCAGCCGCGGUAAUACGGAGGGUGCGAGCGUUAAUCGGAAUUACUGGGCGUAAAGCGCGCGUAGGCGGCGUGAUAAGCCGGUUGUGAAAGCCCCGGGCUCAACCUGGGAACGGCAUCCGGAACUGUCGCGCUAGAGUGCAGGAGAGGAAGGUAGAAUUCCCGGUGUAGCGGUGAAAUGCGUAGAGAUCGGGAGGAAUACCAGUGGCGAAGGCGGCCUUCUGGACUGACACUGACGCUGAAGGUGCGAAAGCGUGGGUAGCAAACAGGAUUAGAUACCCUGGUAGUCCACGCCGUAAACGAUGUCGACUAGCCGUUGGGAGCCUUGAGUUCUUAGUGGCGCAGUUAACGCGAUAAGUCGACCGCCUGGGGAGUACGGCCGCAAGGUUAAAACUCAAAUGAAUUGACGGGGGCCCGCACAAGCGGUGGAGCAUGUGGUUUAAUUCGAUGCAACGCGAAGAACCUUACCUACCCUUGACAUCCUCGGAAUCCGCCAGAGAUGGUGGAGUGCCUUCGGGAGCCGAGUGACAGGUGCUGCAUGGCUGUCGUCAGCUCGUGUUGUGAAAUGUUGGGUUAAGUCCCGUAACGAGCGCAACCCUUGUCCCUAUUUGCCAGCGAUUCGGUCGGGAACUCUAGGGAGACUGCCGGUGACAAACCGGAGGAAGGUGGGGACGACGUCAAGUCAUCAUGGCCCUUACGGGUAGGGCUACACACGUGCUACAAUGGCAGGUACAAAGGGUCGCAAGACGGCGACGUGGAGCUAAUCCCAGAAAGCCUGCCUCAGUCCGGAUCGGAGUCUGCAACUCGACUCCGUGAAGUCGGAAUCGCUAGUAAUCGUGAAUCAGAAUGUCACGGUGAAUACGUUCCCGGGCCUUGUACACACCGCCCGUCACACCAUGGGAGUGGACUGCACCAGAAGUGGUUAGCCUAAC
rnacentral:rRNA from 1 species